GUUCUAGUAGCCUAACGAAGGCAUUGGUCUUGUAAACCAAAGAGUGGAAGUGAAAAUCAUCCCUAAAACA
rnacentral:tRNA from 1 species